rnacentral:lncRNA from 1 species
AAAAGUCCAUAACUAUGAAUCUAAGUUCCUCACAAGUUGACCAACUUAACUCACCUGAACACAUAGGAAAAUAGGUUACAGCAAGAGAUUGUGAUCAUGCAGGUUUCAGAAAUGUACACCUUCCACCUUUAAGAAAACAGAAAUUGUACAGCUAUUCCGCACACAAGGAAGAGUAUGGAAAUGAGGCUCGUACGUAUGUGGCCGGAACUUGAAUCAUUCUGUGACCUUGAGACAUUCUCUGACUGUGGGGCAUUAGCAGGACAGCUAAGCCCUUCCUUGCCUUCUCGGCACUCACUGGCAAACAGACCUGGAGGGUACCUCCCAUAGAGGUUAAUGUAACUGAACAUGGUUGAUGCACAAUCGUUCGUCAAAUCAUUCAAUUCCUCAGCAUAUGGACAUGCAAAUUCCUUGAGAGCUUCACAGCAGAAUUUGGCAGGGUACUGGGGGCCCUUGCACUUGCUUGUGAUGAUUGUGUAGUUCAUAAAUUCAAAGUUCACAGGGCAACCUACAGAUUUAUAUAUGAUAGAGUUAAGAUGUCAACUUUAGGUCAAACAGAGAACUAUACAACAACCAAAAUGAUAUACAUGCUCUACUUUCCAUUUUAAUGAUCUGUUUUCAUGUUAGAGAAUAUUUUCAUCACAAAGCUGUAGAAAAUUGACAAUUGGAACUCGAACUGUGCUAGUGUUUCAAUACGAACAGUCUUGCAAUUAAUCACUAGUUUGUGACCUUGAUCCACUAAGAUCUUUAACCUUAUAUGUGGUACCUAUCUGAAAUUACACGUGCAUUGGAGUUUGCUUUUUAGGUAGUAUGGUUUACCUUAAAAUACUAAUAUGAAUAGACCCAGCUGUAUCCUUGAUAAUUCAUUGCCAAGUUCUUUAAUUUUUCUAACGGCCCCAAUUUAACAUGCUCAAAUUAUUAUAAUCAUCCAUUUAUUGAUGAAUGAACCAGCAAUCAUGCUUAAAUUCUCACAUUAGCGACACUCUUCUUGUACAUCAUAUUCCCAUGAUUGCAAGUUUAAUUCUUCAAGUCUUCAGUUCCUUUCCUCAUAUGACUCCUUUAAAGAUAUUUAAGAUCAACUUUGUUCUUUAAGCAAAAUAUACCGUAACAAUCUCAAGCAAAUCCAGAUAAAAAAUGCAAAAGAGAAUAUUGCAAAUUAUAACCUUAUUUGAUGAGACAAUUACUGAGAAUCCUCAGUUGCCACAAAUCACAUUUAGGGCUACUCUGCCUUAGCUUUAAUGUAAACUUUUCCAAAUUCUUCACCAUGCAAGAAUAUGUAGCCAGUUUAAAAAAAGGUUCUACUUAUAAAUCUGAUCUUAUGACAUCAAUUAGAAAACAAUUAAUCAAAUUUUUGAAGAAGCUUGAGCAAAGUGGUGCUGCUCAUCUAGUAUGAGGCUCCAGUGUCGGUUGAUAACUUAAGUAAUUUUCAUGGCAUUUCAUAACUCUUAACAAAAAAUCAAAUGAUGUUGUUACCAUAUGCAAUAGCAAAGAAGUUACUAACAAUAUAGUGUUUAAGGGUUUAUGACAUCCCAAUUAAGAAUUAUGAUCUUUGGCUCCUAUCAAAUCCCAGCCAUUUUUGCCUACCUCAACACAACACUAAAGGUCAAUUUUAUUCUUGCGCGAUCAGGUGUUCCAUGUAAUCAACAGAACCACUCCAUCUGUUGGGAACUUGUAACUUCAUCAUGUAUCCAUAGUUAAUAAGGUCUGUGAAUCCUGUUCUGAAGUUAAUUUUAGACUGUAAACCACAUGUAGGGACGAAUGAUAACUCCUGGUGUUGCGCAAGUUGUAAGAGUAGGAUCAACAUUCUCUCAUUGCCACAAAUCUUAUUUUUUUUCAAUGUAACCACCACUCUUUACUGGCUCAAAUAAUCAGAAUCAACAUAUCUGCAAUGCCAUAGCAGAUUAACAAUGCAACAACAAGACCAUUGACGAUCCUGGAGUAUGUGGUUUGGUUUUUCUUAAGCUUUUUUAUUUUUGCUUCAGAAACACUUAGAAUUAUUUGACUGAUGCUAUAUAACAAAUUAACAAUGCAUUGCAACAACAACAGCAUUGAUGAUCCUGGAGUUAGUUGUUUGGAUUUUCUUAAUCUUUUUCUUUUUGUUUCGGAAUCACUUCUUACACUAAUUUUGAUCAUCCUUUUAGCUGAAGUGUCUUGUAUUUCUUCAGCCUAAGUACCGAUGAUGGGGCCUCUCAGAUGCAGAGGAGCCCUCUUCAAGUUUCCAUCAUGGUUCAGGCCAAUCCAGAGGCUUGGAGGCGACGCAUGGAGGAAUUAUUCCCUUCCUAAAGGUGUGCCAUUGAUCUGAAUUUUUGGCCUGAGUUCAUAUAGCAGCUACGCAUAUGUUCGAUGUUUGGAUUUAGGACUCCAUUCUGUCUCAACCAACUGUUGAAUUGUGGAGGAAUUGCUUACAAGAAACUCUUCAAGCCAUUUGUGUGCCUUGUUCCAUGAAGUGGAAGCUAAGUAAGCCUACUCAACAUCCUUUCAUGUUUGACUAAAUUCCACAUGUCUAAUAUCAGUUCGAUCAAUCUUACGGGAAGAUCUAUCAAAUAGAGGGAAAACAAACAUGCAGGAAAUAAAUCUAACAAUUCAACCAAUAAUCGAAGAGUAAACCCAAAAGGACGAGAAGAAUAAAAGUUCCAUUUUGAACCUUCUUCAGCCAUCGAAGACAAAUUCACAACAAAACCCAAAAGACGAGAAGGAAAAGAAAAAACAAGGAACGAAGAUUUCAUUUAAUGAGCCAAAGGAGCGAAUCUAACUCGUCUUCGCCUGUAGCAAGCUCCGGCCGCCAGAUCCAUGCGACAAGAACGCAUCACCUAUACCAGAACACCAAACACUUGUUUAACUUCGAAACCCUCCCCUCGCAAAAGGAAUCAAGCUUUCGCGACAAAAUCAAAGCUUUACAGACGAUUCACCUGAGAUGAAGCUCGAAGCAGCUGCCCAUCCAACAAAGGCUGCAAAAAGAACC